rnacentral:lncRNA from 1 species
ACCAAAGCUGCUUUACUAGAUUGCACCCCUAAUCGGACCCCGAUGGCUGUCAAAACCCAACCAUAUGAUGACGAUCAAGAACCCAUACACGCCACUCACUAUCGUUCCCUUGUCGACAGUCUACAAUAUCUCACAUUCACCAGACCAGACAUCACUCAUGCUGUCAAUAAAGUUUGUCAACACUUUCAGAGCCCUACUAAACAAGACCUCGAGGCUAUUACAAGAAUUUUGCGUUAUCUUAAAGGCACUCUGGACUUUGGACUCUGAUUCCUUGAACAAAGCUCCAAUCAACUGUAUGCCUUUUCGGACUCUGAUUGGGCUGGUUGCCUUGAAACAAGACGUAGCACGACUGGCUUUUGUGUUUACCUUGGGGCAAACUUAAUCUCAUGGUGUAGCAAGAAACAAAGCACCGUUGCACGCUCCACUGCUGAAGCAGAAUAUCGGGCUUUAUCUUCCACUACCGCUGAACUAACUUGGAUUCUUUCUUUAUUGCAGGACAUUAGAGUCUCACCAUCACACAUUCCUCACCUUCUUUGCGAUAACACGAGCGCCAUCUACAUGACUCGCAACCCCGUGUUUCAUGCGCGCAGCAAGCAUAUCGAAAUUGACGUCCAUUUUGUUCGUGAAAAAGUAUCUCAAGGCCUCCUUAAAGCCACGCAUGUUCCCUCCUUGCAGCAAGCUGCACCUCCUUGCAGCAAGCUGCAAGCUGCAGAUAUCCUUACCAAACCAUUGGGCAAAGAUCUUUUCUUUCUCUUUCGACACAAGCUCGGCGUUCACUCUAUGACCUGGCCGACCUUGAGGGGGGCUGUUAAGAUACAUUGCCCACCAAAUGUGGAAUUCGAACAGUCACAACACUUGAACCACAUGCAGCCACAUGAGUCCCAUCUCUGAGGACAGCAAGAAUGGAAGUAUUUAAUCAUUCUUUAGUUAAGGGUUUUAUGCCGACUUGAAUUAAACCGAUAUGAAUAUAAUUGAAAUUCUUUUCUUUUAAUUUCUUUAAAGAAUGUUCAGAGAACAAGUGAAUUGUUUCAAAAGGUUUUGAAAGUAUGAUAUCUCGUUCUUCUGUCUUUAUAACACAAUCAGUCUUUAAAAAAUCAAGUUUUUUCAUUUUAUAAAUCUUAUCUUUAGAAACUUUUGGUAAAUCUCAAUUGUCAAUUGCUUUAUUAAAAUCUUCAAUAAUGAAUUCUUCUGAAUUUACCACGUGUUUAGAAACACUAAUAUUCUCGGAAGAAGAACUAGAGAAAGAUGAUGUUCUAUGCAGUAGAGGAUCCAUGAAGUUUAAAACUUUUUUUAAAAAAAACCUAUAUGAAUGACUAUAGGUAUGGUUUUAUUGCCCUAUACGAAAAUCUUUAUCCUAAGACGGGACUUACUACCAAUAAAAAUUCAACAAACACACUGAUGUUUAAUAAAAAAAAAUAAACAACACAGAUGCUUUACCAAAUAUUACAAUUACUUUCCCCCCUGGCUCUAUAUAUAUAUAUAUAUAUAUCUUUUGGGCUAAAAAAGAUAAUAAUGAAUCAGCCCACGAGUUUUAAAUUUCCAUCACGAAAUCUGAAAUUCGCAUUGUACAAUUGCGAACCAAACGCAGCCUAAGCAGCUCGAUUUUCUAUCUAUAAUCGCAUUUUCUAUUUGCUCUUUCUGCCUUAACAAACACUCUUGACAUACAUCUUAACAAACACUUUUGUUUCUUAAUAAUCACUCUUACUCAGAUCUUUGAGUCAUUUUAUUUAUAAAUCCAUGUGCGAUUGAAAAUUGCACUCCUCGUUCUCCUUCCUCAGGAAAAUAAAAGAAAAAAUUCCAAAAACAAUGAGCGAUUCCUCUUUUCGAAUUCUUAUUAUCGGGGUUUUGAUCGCCUGUAGCUUGACCCAUGUGAGAUCUGACGCCUCUGAUCACCGCUACAAGGUCGGUGACGUCGUCCCUCUCUACGCCAACAAGGUUGGCCCUUUCCACAACCCUAGGUAACUCUUAUCAUUUUUUAUUCUGUUGGUUUUAAGAUCUGGAAUUGGAUCCGUGAGAUCCUUCUUUGCCAAGGGCCUGUUUGGAUGCAAAUGCGAUUCAUGCAUUCAGGUGUUUAGAGUAUAUUAUCAUUAAUCCUGCCAAACACGCCCUCAAGAAUUCUAUGCUAUGAUUCUAAUUCUUGUUUAUUAUAAUUUGUGAUUUCAGUGAAACUUAUCGAUAUUUUGAUCUACCAUUCUGCUCCCCAGGUUCUUCCUCUUGCCCCUUUUGCUCUAAUUUUUGUGUAUUAGUAAAACCUCGGGGAAGGGACGAUGGAAUUAUUCCAAUACUGCGUUAUGUAGGUGUUAGAAUGAUUUUCGGGUUGUUUUUUUUGAAUGGCAGAUGGAAUAAUAAAAGAGAAAAGGGAAGCACUUGGUGAGGUGUUGAAUGGGGACCGACUUGUUAGUGCUCCUUAUAAACUCAACUUCAGAGACGAGAAAGACUCUGCUGUUGCGUGUAGAAAGAAGUUGUCCGAGCAAGAUGUUGCUCAGUUCCGAAGUGCAGUGGAAAAGGACUUCUAUUUCCAAAUGUACUAUGAUGACUUACCCAUCUGGGGGUUCAUUGGCAAAGUUGACAAGGAAGGAAAGACUCAUCCGAACGAGUAUAAGUAUUUCCUUUACAAGCAUAUCCAGUUUGACAUUCUUUAUAACAAAGACCGUGUUAUUGAGAUCAGUGCUCGAAUGGAUCCUCAUUCUUUGGUGGACUUGACAGAGGAUAAGGAGGUUGAUGUGGAGUUCAUGUACAGUGUGAAAUGGAAGGAAACUGACACCCCUUUUGAGAAGAGGAUGGAGAAGUACUCACUCUCUUCUUCGUUGCCACAUCAUUUGGAAAUUCAUUGGUUUUCAAUUAUAAAUUCAUGUGUAACGGUUUUGCUUUUGACUGGUUUUCUUGCCACGAUUCUCAUGCGAGUUCUGAAGAAUGAUUUUGUGAAGUGAGUUUUGUAUUUUAAAUUUCUUACCUUCAUUUGCUUAUCUACUGAUAUAUCUUUUCUUCCUUAAGUGUUUUACCAUGUAUGUUUAAUUUAUUGAUAGGUAUGCCCAAGAUGAGGAAGCUGCUGAUGACCAGGAAGAGACAGGAUGGAAGUACAUCCAUGGUGAUGUGUUCCGGUUCCCCAAAUACAAAUCUUUGUUUGCUGCAGCCCUUGGUUCUGGCAGCCAGUUGUUUACUCUGUAAGGAUGUUUUACACUGUUGUUUUUUCAAAUUUCAUUCAGUUUGUUAUGAUGCCAUUUUAUGCCAACCAUUGAUUUUUAAUUGAAUUGCCUUCAUUUCCAGCACUGUAUUUAUUUUUAUGCUAGCGCUAGUGGGUGUAUUUUAUCCAUACAACCGAGGAGCUCUAUUUACAGCACUGGUGGUCAUAUAUGCACUCACUUCUGGGAUUGCGGGAUACACAGCUGCUUCUUUCUACUGUCAGCUAGAAGGAACAAACUGGGUAUGCUUGAAUUAACUAUGUCUUGGGCUAUUAUAACUUCUAGCAUGAUCUUUCUAAAAACUGGAUGUUGUGAAAUAAUUUAUCUUCAAAUUGUUGGUUUGACAGGUGAGGAAUCUGUUGCUGACUGGAUGCCUUUUCUGUGGUCCUCUGUUUCUGACAUUCUGCUUCCUGAACACUGUUGCCAUUGCUUACAAUGCGACAGCAGCACUGCCAUUUGGCACAAUUGUGGUGAUAGUCCUCAUAUGGACAUUAGUCACAUCACCUCUACUUGUGUUGGGAGGUAUUGCUGGUAAAAACAGCAAGGCAGAGUUCCAAGCUCCUUGUCGUACGACUAAGUACCCUCGAGAGAUCCCACCACUACCUUGGUAUAGGAGUGCUAUUCCACAGAUGGCAAUGGCAGGUUUCCUGCCAUUUAGUGCCAUCUACAUUGAGCUUUACUAUAUUUUUGCCAGUGUUUGGGGCCACAGGAUUUACACAAUAUACAGCAUCCUCUUUAUUGUCUUUAUCAUUCUGUUGAUUGUUACUGCUUUCAUAACUGUGGCUUUGACUUACUUCCAACUUGCUGCUGAAGAUCAUGAAUGGUGGUGGAGGUAUGUAAACUCUCUUGUCUAUUUUGAUUUUAUUUUUUUUCCCUUUUCAUCUCUUUAAUAAUCACAAUGUGAAAUUUUGAACUUGUUAUUUCUUGUAGUUUUUUUUUUAGGAGCUCUAUUUACGGCACUGGUGGUCAUAUAUGCACUCACUUCUGGGAUUGCGGGAUACACAGCUGCUUCUUUCUACUGUCAGCUAGAAGGAACAAACUGGGUAUGCUUGAAUUAACUAUGUCUUGGGCUAUUAUAACUUCUAGGCAUGAUCUUUCUAAAAACUGGAUGUUGUGAAAUAAUUUAUCUUCAAAUUGUUGGUUUGACAGGUGAGGAAUCUGUUGCUGACUGGAUGCCUUUUCUGUGGUCCUCUGUUUCUGACAUUCUGCUUCCUGAACACUGUUGCCAUUGCUUACAAUGCGACAGCAGCACUGCCAUUUGGCACAAUUGUGGUGAUAGUCCUCAUAUGGACAUUAGUCACAUCACCUCUACUUGUGUUGGGAGGUAUUGCUGGUAAAAACAGCAAGGCAGAGUUCCAAGCUCCUUGUCGUACGACCAAGUACCCUCGAGAGAUCCCACCACUACCUUGGUAUAGGAGUGCUAUUCCUCAGAUGGCAAUGGCAGGUUUCCUGCCAUUUAGUGCCAUCUACAUUGAGCUUUACUAUAUUUUUGCCAGUGUUUGGGGCCACAGGAUUUACACAAUAUACAGCAUCCUCUUUAUUGUCUUUAUCAUUCUGUUGAUUGUUACUGCUUUCAUAACUGUGGCUUUGACUUACUUCCAACUUGCUGCUGAAGAUCAUGAAUGGUGGUGGAGGUUUGUAAACUCUCUUGUCUAUUUUGAUUUUUUUUCCCCUUUUCCUCUCUUUAAUAAUCACAAUGUGAAAUUUUGAACUUGUUAUUUCUUGUAGUUUUUUUUUUGGUCUCUUUUUGAAUGUUUAUUUCCGUUUUUGGUUUGAUAACUUGAGGUAGUUUAUUUCUCUCAGCAAGCUUUUUCCUCUUUUAAUCAAAAUGUGGUGUCUCAUAAUUAGUGAUUGAAUGUUAGAUCAAUUUUGUUUUGACUUCACCAAAGUUGGUUGCUAUCUCAAUGUUUUAUUAGGUUGGCACUUAUAUAUCCUCUUUAUAUACAGACGAUCACUUACCUGUGUAUAUUAUGUUAUACCGUUAGCAUAUUAAUUAAUUUUUAGUGGUUAAGAUAUUUGGUUCUCAACCAAGUGUUCUGGGAUCAGUUUGGGAUGUCUAUUUGAAAUUUAUCACAUCCCACAAGUUUCUGGGCUAUCAAAUUCCAGUGUUUGACAAUAGCCCAUAGUUGUAGAAGUCGAUCAACUGGUUUGAGAGAAUGAGGUGUGUUUGGGUAUAAAAUAAGUGAAUAUCUAAUACAUUACAAAUUUAUGUUGUUGGUUGGCUUUCCAAAUUAAUUUAACUUGGAUCAAUUUUCAAUUGCUACCUUCAUGUUUACUUUUUGGACUAAUUUUGGGUCUUGAAUUUUUCACAGGUCAUUUCUUUGUGGUGGAUCUACUGGUGCUUUCAUCUAUGCGUACUGCUUGUACUACUACUAUGCACGAUCAGAUAUGUCAGGUUUUAUGCAGACCUCAUUUUUCUUUGGGUACAUGGCUUGCAUCUGUUAUGGCUUCUUCCUUAUGCUGGGCACAGUGGGUUUCCGUGCUUCACUGCUCUUUGUUCGACAUAUAUACAGGUCAAUCAAGUGUGAGUAAGGGCUUGUUCUUUUCGGUCCAUUAAUAGUGCUCACAGGGUUUAGGAGUUAUCUUGUUGCUAGUUUGUUCAUGUUUUUAUUAGGGGACCUUGUGUUUUUUUUCCCUCUUAUUUUCUGUUUAGAGCUAUACUUGUAACUUGCCUAUAAAUAGGCCCUCUGUUUUUAUUUGAUGUAGUAGACUUGAUAUUUACAAAGAGAUAUGUUGUUCUUUUUACUUCCUAUCCAUCCCUCGAUUUUCUCUCUCCCAAGAUCCAACUUCUAUGAUCUAUCCUCUCCUCCGUUGGGCUGGUUCUUAAAACUUUCUCUAGGUUGUUUAUUAUGAGGUGCAUUGCUUUAUCCAUAAUCACCCGGUUAAGCAUAUGUAACAAAAUAUCAAUGUAAUUAUAUUUUUAUAUUAUAAUUAAACAUAAUUAAAAUCUGAAGGCUUUAUGGAUGAAAAUUUAAUGCAAACUUUUUAUCCAAUUUGAAGGGCAACAUCCGUGCUUUUAUCCCCUGGCUUUCGGUUUGCUAUUAUCAAAAUUCUCAGGAGACUACUACUUGAAUUAGGAAUCGUAUGUCCUCGAACCGAUGUCAAAACGGAAAUAGGAAAUCUUCUCUAUAUAAGACUAUCAAACUAGACACAGAAAAACAUUAAACUCAAUACUAAAACUUUCUGAUACAACGUUAGUUAAAUUAAUAUUCUCAUGAUGGCGGAACAUGGAGUUUUAGCGAAAGAGACCCCUGAGGAGUCAUCAAAGCUGGGGACAUUCAUUAAUGUUCUUAACAAGGCCUGUGAAACAGAAUUAGUAUAUUCCACAGAAGAUCAUUGUGAAGAGUUGGAAAAAUACAAAUACAUCCUGCGGCGAGCGUUGAUUGAAUUCAAGCAGCUCAUUAAGGAGAUUAAUACUGCUUAUGGUUCUACCACCCAAUACGGCGGCAGCCGCUUUUUUAGUUGUUUUUGGCUCUCGCUGUUGGAGUUGGAACUGAAAUAUUCCUUUAUUCGGUUGGUACCCUUUAUGAAGACAAGAUUGGAUGUACCGCACGACGACUUUGUUUCGGCCGUACACGAUGCAGACAUGUCAAUGGAAGGUUACUGUCAGGAUAUUCAUGCAAAUUUCAAGGAAAAAUUUAUUGCACUAGGUCCUGAGAUGAUUGAAUCGCUGGACGAGUUAUUCCAGGAUGAUUGGCCUUGUUCUUUGGCGGGUAUCGCUCGGUUUCUAUUGAGAGAGUGGGCGUGUACUAUACGAGUGAGAGGAGGAGAUGUGAUUGUUUGCCCUUCUAGUUCUGCAUUGGUGACCAUUUCAUCAGACGCUAUAAAAGAGAGUUGUGAAACUGGGAUGGAAUUAAAGAGAUGGAUGGACGAGAGAGUGUUUCCUCUGUUGUCAAACAAACUUGCUGAAUAUGCAGGAAACGUCACUGUUUUCAUUGAAACAGAAGAGAAGACAGGAGAGCUGGCGUUUUUGUUGGAGUCAGCAUGCCCUGACCCUGCUGUUGCUGCCUGAAUGAAGCAUUAUUAAUCUUCAAAGUUUACAGUAAUUAUUGGCUGGGAGUCAUAGUCGUAGUGGUGGCUAUAAUAAGAAAGAGUUUAGGAAGAAAUUUUGCUCUUUUGAAUUGGCGAUUAGGUUCGUCUUUAGUUUUAAUCUAGUCCUAAUGUAAUAAGAGUACUCAAGUUUGAUAUAUAUGUUGUUAAGGUCAAGAAUAAAUUAAUCAAGGAUAGAUUUUUUUAACUUGAUUGUAGACUUAGAUCCUCUACUAAUCUUUUAAUUUUUACUACUCUUUCUAUAAUCUUUUUAUACGUAUGGAAAUUAUGUGUAAUACCCCAAUUCUCUCUAAGGGUAUUUAAAUCUUUUUUUAAUGAUCUUUUUACCCUAGUAUAAAAGGGAUAAUAUGUCUUUCCCAUUAUAAAAAAGAGAGGGAGAGAGAGAUCGGCUGAGGAAAAAAAAAAGGAGAGAGAUGGAUAGAAAAGAAAAGCAAAAAAGAAGAAUAAUAAAGUUUUCUUCUUGGUUUUGUCAUGAGCAACACAUGAGAUCAAGUUACAUCAUUUGAAUUGGAUAUUGUUGAGAGAAGAUUUAGAGGUAAGUUUUAAUUCUUUGUUUUUAUUAAUUUGUUAUGGAGAAGCAUGAUUAGAUAUUUGCAACAGAAUUAAAAACCUAAGAUUUUACAAGAAAUAUGUUGACAGAGCAUUAUUACGAAAAUCAUAGUUAUUUGUACAAAUUGAUUUUUAUUUUGAUUUUUGGAUAUGUUAAACUAGACCUCUUCCAGAAUGUUUGAAAGUUUUUCCAAGCCAAUCGGAUAAGAUUUGAAUUAAUUAUGAUUUUUUGAAGUCAAGUCUAAAAACUUAGAAAUUUCUGAUUUCAGUGGAAAACAUUGAUUACGAAAUUAUUUUUGCCGUGGCUAGACUUCUUCAAAAAUUAUGAAAUUUGGACCAGGGAUUUUCAUAUAUGUCUAUGUGAUUCCAAAAAUUUUCAUGAUUUAUGGUAAAAUAAUAAAUUGUUUUGUAUUUUUAAAGCAAGCAUGUUCAGAAUAAAAAACUGUUUGAUAGAAUUGAUGAUGUUUGAAACCUAAAUUAUUUUCAAUAGUUUUUGAAAGCAUUAAGCUAUGAAAUUUUUAACAAUAAAUUUCCAAUAUGUCAGAAUAUGCUCUGUAAAAUUUGAGAUUUUUCCAAUAAGGUAAUAAUUUAUUAAAAAUCAAAGAACAUGAACCGCUCUGUUUUGAGGACCGAAUAUUGAGGGUACUUGAGGUUGAGUUUAGGAGCUAUUUAAAAUAAGAUAUUUGAGAACAUUAGAGUUUAUGAUUGAGAUUUGAUUAUAUCUUAUGAGGAUUUUAUUAAUAAUUUUUAAGUCGAUGAUAUUAGUAUGCAUUUGUUACAUGAAAAUGCUAAGAGGUAAGUAAACUAGACUUUUAAAUGAAUUACAAUAAAUAAUAAAUAUGUUUGAUUUGUCUGAAAAACCUAUUUUUGAUAUAGACGAAUAUGAGUUUAUAAGUCUCUGCCCAUGGUUAAGAUUUGAAUUUAUAAUUAAUUCAAAUCUUAUCCGACUAGCUUAGAAAAACUUUCAAAACAUUCUAGAAGAUGUCUCGUUUAACAUAUCCAAAAAUCAAAAUAAAAAUCAAUUUGUACAAAUUAUUAUGAUUUUCAUAAUAAUGCACUGUCGGCAUAUUUCCUAUAAAAUCUUAGGUUUCUACUUUUGUUGCAAAUAUCUAAUUAUGCUUCUCCAUAACAAAUUAAUGAAAACCAAGAAUUAAAACUUACCUUCAAAUCUUCUCUCAACAAUAUCCAAUUCAAAUGAUACAACUUGAUCUCAUGUAUUGCUCAUGGCAAAAUGAAGAAGAAGAUUUUCUUUUUCUUCUCUUUUUCUUUUCUUUUCUCUCUUUUUCUCUCUUUUCUCUUCAUCUCUCUCUCUCUCUUUUCCUUUAUAUCCUUUUUGUUUUCCUCGGCCGAUCUCUCUCUCUCUCUCUUUCCUAUAAUGGAAAAGACAUAUUAUUCUUUUUAUACUAGGAAAAAAUUACAAAAAAAAAACUUAAAUACCCUUAGGAGAAUUGGGGUAUUACAUUAUGCACUUAAUUAGUCAUCAUUGAUUGGCUCCUUUUGAUUUCCUUAUCUAUGUUACUCCCCAUUAAAACUAUGUUUUGGUUAAAGAAGCAGAGCAUCUAUAUAUAUGAACCCUAACAAAUUUGAGAGAUAAAUUUCCAUAUUAAAUCAUAAAUUAAAAUUAGGUUCAUGUUUGACAUAAAAUAGAAAAAUAGUUGAGAACUUAUAUUUCUAGUAAAAGGAGGGAGCAAAAAGAAAGAAAUUUUGGGAACAUUAGUUAUAAUGCCUGUGGGUCUGUAGCGCCUACUUUAACAAAUUUUGUGAACGUAAGAUAAGAGCACAAAUAAUGGCAUUGAUCUAUUGGGUGCUAUCUUUUGGGUUGAAACAAAAGAUUUGGAAUUGGAAUCUUGCUCCCAUCCAUGAUGAGAAAUUGAGUUAUCAUAAUGUAAAUUUUUUUUUUUUAAAAAAAAAAAGACAGUAAUUAUGGAGAUUUUAGUCUCUUCAUUUUACAAGAAACAAAAGUAAUGAUAAUUAGGGUAAACCCUUUAAUUCAAGAUUUCACCCUAUUGAUAAAUCCAACCUCAAAUCUAGGAAGAGAAAAAUGAAGUUGAAAUCUUUUAAUGAUUGCUCUAAAGUUUGAAUUAAUAUCAACAUCACCCCUAAGAUUUUGCAUAAGUAGAGUUCAGGUGACAUUUAUUGGCAGGAAGUAUCAUUUUUUUAAUAAAAAAAUAUAUAUGUUGAAUAAAGUCAACUUUAAAAAUUCACAGUUGUUGUAAAUAUAGAUAGAUGAUACAGGAAGUAUAAAGAGGACAACGCAGAAGAAGCAUUAUGUUAAUAAUGUAUGAGAGAAUUAUCCCAUUCAAACUUUUGGUAACAACAUUACAAAGUCUAGCUCCCGUAUUUAUAGUGCUAUUCGUCCAAUCAUAAAUGGUUGAGUUUCAGAACACAUGGCAAAAUUAUCUCCACGUGUGGGCAUUCUUUACUACAUAAAUUUCCAUACAUAAUAAGCUUAGUGUUGUGGACGGCAAGUUAACGAUCCCUUGCGGUACUCCCGCAUCCCACGGUACGAGAGUAAACCUAAAAUAAUUGACCAUCACGAUUGCAAUUCGUAAUAUUAGUCUUCCAAAAAUAGCAGUAUGCGUAGCUUAUUAGCUAAGGUAUCCAUCAGAUCAUAAUAGACUUACACUAGCUGGAAAUAUCAAACAAACACUUGUUCAAUGCAAAUCUUACUUAACUGACCAAAUCAGCCAAUCACAAUGGUGGAUAGCCACUAAUAUCACAACAAUAACGAGUCCCGUAAAUUUUUACUAGAUAAUGAAUUAAAUAAUAAUAAAAAGUUAUGACCUCACAGAUUACGAGAUAAACAGUUGAAAUUAAAAAAAAAUACAAUAAAAACGAGCUCCAAGAUCGGACAAUAUAUAUAGAUAUAUAUUGCCGAUUUCGGUCAAUAAUAAUACCAGUCACAUGAAUAAAUUUUACUCAAAAUUAAUUCAAAUUAGACAUUGAUUCAGCCUCAUAAUCUACUUUUUUAUAGUGAGAAUCUCAUCAACAGUAACGCGGCAAGUGGCGGAAGCGUAGAGCUUGUUUUGUAAUUUAUGCAGAGCCUUUUUUUUUUUUUUUGGGUAACACAUCGAUAUAUAUCAAACAAGGCCUGUGAGGCUGAUCCAUUUGAGAGAGAGGACGUGCUGUGUGCAGACAAGAGUCGAAGGAGAAAAAGAAGAACUAAUUUUUUAAAUUCUUAUUUUUAUUUUUUAAUUAAUGAGUAUUUUGAAAGGUUCAACCCAUUUUUUCUUUAAUUAAAAAUUAAAUGUUGACAAAAAAAAGUAUUGCCCACCGCCUCUGAAGGCCGGUUGAAAAUAACAGUUUUACUGCAUUUUUAUAAAUAAUACAUUUUAAAAUGCCAAACACGCUGCUCAUUUAUUUCAAUGUCAAAAAAGGGGAAUCAUUAUUCACCCAAAAAAAAAACACUACACCAACUAUGUAUAAUAUUUAAAAUUCGAUAACAAACGUUUUUUCAGUAUUCAUAAAAAUAAUUUCCAAGGAAGUGAAAAAACUUAAAUGAAAAUAAUGCCGGAUGAAAGCUUAUUGCCUCAAAAAACAAGGUCUUUAUUGUAGUAUAUUUUAAUGAAUCAAACUACCAAGUUAGAAAUGCCAAUGAUUUACGGUGAUCUUCUUAUUAAAGAUUCUCUUCUAAGUUUUAAUAUCAAACUUUAUAUCUGCGUUGAACGCAAGACCUCAUAUUAAAUCAGACAAGAGUCUCUGCACAUGGAAUAUUUUUAAUUUUCCUUACUCGUGUUAUUUGUUAAUCCAUACAUAUAUUUUCUUAGUUUUCAUUUUCUUGGUUAGUUACAUGAUUUUAUUUAGAAUCCGGCUACAAUAGAAAUGUUCUACCGUAUAACAAGAGCAAAGUUACAAUAUGUAUUUUAUUAUUUAUCAAUUUAAUCGUAUAAUUAUGUAAGAGUGCUCUACAGUGGAGCAUCGCUAACAUAAUUAUUACUUUUUGUUUGACAUGCAUUGAUUUCAACGGACUUUUUAAACUUUCUCAGGGAUUUCAAUAAGAGUGGUUAGUGAUUUCCACUUUCUCUACUAAUUAAUUUGGGACAAAACUACUUUGCAACCGUUGUACCAAACCCCAAAUUUAGUAUCUGCUUUAAGAGUCCCUAUUGUUUUUUGUAAAUAAUAAAAAUUUUAAAUUUUAAAAAUUUUAUGUAAUAAGCCCCAAUUAAAAUAUAAUAAUUUUAAAUUUUUAAAAAACUUAUUUAGUAUUUUCUGUAACAAUCCCUAUUGUUUUCUAUAAAUAAUAAAAACCAUAUGUUUUAAUAAUUUAUGCAAUUAGCCCCAAUUAAAAUAUAAUAAUUUUCAAAUUCUAAAAAAUUUAUUCUCUUUUAUCUCCUUCUCAAAUCAAUUUGUCCUACCUUAAAUCUUAAUUUAUUCCUUAUCAAACAUAUAAUUCUUCUAAAACAUAAAAAAAAUAAGAGUCUUCUAACUACAUAAAUUAGAAUAAUUUCUAACAAAACCUCAAAAACAUAAUACUUGCAUUUUCUCAAGAGGAUAUAUAUUGUGUUUAUGUCUUUUUAUUUACCAUUGUAAUAAAGAAAGAGUUAUAUCUUACUUUCUAAAACAAGAUCUAAUCAAUUAGAGCCUGCUGAAUGCGAUUAAAGAUGGUGGGAUAGGUUUACUUUACUAAAAUUUAAUCUCAAUAAGGUGUUUGGUAUGAAUAAGUAAACUACAAAUAAUAUAACUUAGGCUACCAAAUUAUCAUGUGAUAAUGAUUUUUUUUUCUCUAAGGAGACCCUAAAAUGAGCUUUCUAGACUAAAUUUUUGUCUUAUGAUGACAACAAAAAAUAAAAAUGUUACGUUAGAAGCCUAAAAAGUUAGUUAAUUUUAAUUGUUUUUUAAAGGUAUUCUCCCAUAAUCUAUUAAUUCAUUCUUUAAAAUUUAAAAUUUAAGUUUCAUUCUUUAUAAUUUUAAAUUUAAGUAAUAGAAUAAAUAUUAUACAAUGCAUUUGUUUUCACAUUAAAUAAAUAAUUGAUCAACUUCGUACAUGUGAUAAGGUAUAAAUAAUUUUACAUAAUUUUAAAUUUACAUAUAGAAAUUUAUUAUUUUGCAAAUAUUAUUUAUAAACUCCAUAAUGAAAUUUAAACAACUGUCCAACCAUUUAUUUAAUAUUUAUUUAUUUUUCAUUUUGAUAUUGUCAAAUUUUUUAUAAAACCUUAUCCAAUUUACACUAAAAACAAGAUAAUAAUAUCUCCUAAUCAUUUUUUUACUCAAUUUUAAUGUUAUAUACUUUCUCAAUAUUAUGGAUAAUUAAUUAUAGAAGUAGACAUGGAAAUGAUAGUAAUAAUUAGAGAAUUACAAAAUAUUGAUGUACUUGUGGAAUAAAUUAAGGGAUUCGUCUUUCUAGAGUUAAUAGACUUUGUUGUAUUUAAGAGGUUGUGGCUCUCAUGGAUGCACAACUAAAUCAUACAUUAUAACCACCCAAUAUCAAUAAUAAAAAAUGCUCUCAAAAUUCCCUAUAUCUUCCUUAUUCGUAUUAUUUAAUAACUUAGUCAAUAAAUAAAAAUAUUUACUAAAAGAAAUUAAAAAAAACAACUAAGAUAAAAAAAAAAAACAUGAAAGUCUAAAUAUGAAUCACGGGUUGCACGAGAAGUGGAGAUGAGGAUAACCAUUGAUGGGGUGGGACGGUAAAAUAAUAUUAUUAUUAUUAUUUCUGACAUUUUAGAAAUUUAGAGGGACUCCAAUGUUAAUUACCUAAGAAAAUACAUCCUACCGUUGCUUUUACUUUUGCAGUUCUUUCGUUGGAUCUAACGGCUAGGUCACAAAAAGACAAAAAAGGGUGGUACCAUACCACUGAGACAACUUAGCUGGACCCAUUAAUUUGGCGUUAUUCCAUGUGGCUUUGAUUUGAAUUUAGUUGUGACUUGUGAAGUAUCAAUUUCGAUUCAUUUUUUGUUGCUUUCCUUGCGUAAAUUCAAGUCAAUACGCGGUUGCAAUAGACAAUGCAUUAGACUUCAUCCUUUUCGUCUCAACCGAAUUAUUUAUUAAUUUUUACAUUACAAUUUUUUUAACGGAACAACUGCAAAAGGAAAAAAAAAACAAAUAGAAGAAGAAGAAGAAUUUGACGAAGAAAAAGAAGAAGAUUAAAGGACAGAAGAAGAAGAAGAAGACAAAGAAGAAGAAGGAGAAGACUACAAAAAAAUAUUUUUUAAAAAAAAUUCAAAACUAAAUGUAUUGAUUUACGGGAUUGGUUAAGUUACAUUUCAUGAAACUAACAAUGCCCCCAAAACAUGCAAAAAAUUAUAGCAUUUAAGUGGGGUCUACUUAAACUUUGCAAGAGCUGUAAGCCUGUAAGUUACACGAAAAAAGACCGUUGGGUUGUUCAUUGUUUAAUUAAAUAUUAUUUAAGAGAUUAAAAAUAAAUUUUUUAGGGUUUAUGGCAAGAGAAUUAUAUAUUAAAUAGCAAGUAUGCUGCAUGAAUAUUCAUAAUUUUUAUAUUAUGUUAGUUUGUAAGAGAGAGUCCAUAUUAAUAAUUCAUAUGAUGAACAUUUUUGUAAUCAAAUAAUUUAUCAAAAUAAGAGUGUUCAUAAUAAUUUUUAAAAUACCAGUAACUUCACUCUUCAGUUUUCAUCAUUGCCAUAACUUAAUGCAAUUUCAAGAACCAAAAGAAAUCAGUCCUAAUGAUACAAAUGAAAUUUCAAAUAAUAUUAUAAUCCUUUCUUAAUCUGAGCUAUUAUGAAUUUGUAAAGAUCUUGAGCUAUCCAUCUUUUAGUGUAAUGAAUAAUUAAAAUUUGGCGUCAAUUUGGUAAUGCAAUAAUUUUUUAAAUAAUUGUUGUUAGUUAUACUAUAGAAAUAAUCAGAUGUGAAGAGAAUUAGUUAAAUACUGAGUAAAACUUACUUUUAAAAGUGCCGAGAGUUUUGAAAACGGUUGUAUGUGUUUGAUAAAUUUUACUAUUAAAUUGCUGUAAGAGUGUAAAUGACUAAAUUGAAUAUAAUAUUGAAUAAAAUUUAUUUGCAUAUUUAUAGACAUGUAUAUAAAAUAUUUUUUUAAUUGUGUAAAUAUUAUAAUUAAUAACCAAAGUAAAUAUUUUAUGUUAUUAGUGUUCUUUAUUAUCUUGUUAUCUCAAUAUAAUUGAUGAUAAUAAUAGUAAUAAUCUCUUUGAAGUUAACAAUUUUAUUUCUAAAUUAAUAAGGAUAAUUUUGAAUUUUUAUAAUAUACUUAAAAAUAUAUAUGAAAUUAUAUUAAGUAUAAAAUUGAUUUUUAGAAUCAAUAUUAAAAAGUUACUACUUCCUGAUUUUUCAAAAUUUACUUUAGGAUGAAAUGAUCUUCCUAAAAGUGAUUUUUUUUAAAAAAAUGAUCAACCAACAAAAUUAAUUUUUAUUAUUUAAAAAUUACUUCUAAACCUCUCAAAAAUAAUUUUAAAAAAAUCCUUAAUUAUUUUUAUUUUUUAAUUUAUUAACCACUCAUCACAAAAAUGAAUUAAUUCAACUUGAAAGAUCCUAACCCAGCUUCAUAAUCCACUUAUAUGUGUGCUUAUAUAUAUAUAAUGAGAAGCUCAUCACCAGUAACGUGGCAAGUGGCGGCCCUUUUGCCCCCUAAGUUAUGGUAUAUAUACACACACAUACAUAAGUGGGCACUGCAGCGCUAUGAGCCAAGUGCACCUUGAUUCCUCUUCGUUGAAAAUGAAAACAAUGGUAAGCAUCCCAGAGGCUCCUUUGGGCUCCACCGGCAAAACCAUACCUCUUGUUGGCUUCGGCACGGCCCAAUUUCCGUUCGGAGCAGCCACUGAAGCAGUAAAAGAAUCCGUUGUGCAUGCAAUAGAAGUCGGCUACAGACACUUCGACACCGCCGCAAUAUACCAGUCCGAGGAGCCUCUUGGGGAAGCAAUAGCCCAAGCGUUGCGUCUUGGGCUCAUCAAAUCACGCGAUGAGCUCUUUAUCACUUCAAAGCUUUGGUUCGGCCGCGCACACCGUCAACUUGUCCUCCCUGCGCUGCAAACUUCUCUCAAGUAACUAAAUUAAAUUAAUUACAAGCUAGCUCAUUGCCUAGCUGCAGGCAUAUAUCAUCUAUGGUUUAAGGUUGACUGAUUGGUUGCUGACGUUAUUGAUAAUUUAUUUUUGCAGGAAUCUGGGGUUGGAGUAUAUUGAUUUGUAUCUGAUUCAUUUUCCGGUAAGCUUGAAGCCUGGAACAGGGUUCCCAUACAAUAAAGAAGAUAUUGAGCCACUUGAUUAUGAGGGUGUUUGGGAGGCCAUGGAGGAGUGUCAAAAUCUCGGCCUCACUAAAUCCAUUGGAGUCAGCAACUUUGCUUGCAAGAAACUUGAGAGGUUACUUGCUACUGCAAAAAUCCCUCCUGCUGUCAAUCAAGUGAGUCCAAUAAUCUUAAUUAAUUAUAUGUAUUUAAAAAUUAAAACAGAGCCGUGUAAAUAUGUUUUGUAUAAAUUAAUUAAUUUAAUUAUAUGUAUUUAAAAUGAAGCUGAAUCCCUCCGGCUGUCAAUCAAGUGAGUGCAAGUUCUGCAGUGCGUCGGACAGCUAAUUUAAGUUAAAAAUAUUAAUCAUGAAAAUAUGCAUAUAAAAUUUUGUUUUCCUUUUAUUUGGGUAGGUGGAGUUGAACCCAGUUUGGCAGCAAAAGAAGCUGAGAGAUUUCUGUGAGAAGAAAGGCAUUCAUAUUACAGCCUACUCGCCGUUAGGAGCCAAAGGAACAGUAUGGGGAACUAAUCGAGUCAUGGAAUGUCAGGUGCUGAAAGAGAUUGCAAACGCUAAAGGAAAGUCUGUUGCCCAGGUAUUUUUUUUUACCCCAAAUUUUUAUCCGAGUUUGACAAACAUAAUUUGGUUGUAAAUGCACACGUGGCAUAAGAUCGAAGGGCAUCUUUAAUGUUGAUCUUGAUUAUAAGGUUUAUUUUGGUGUGCUUGAAGGUUUCUUUGAGGUGGGUUUAUCAGCAAGGAGUGAGUUUGGUCGUGAAAAGCUUCAAUAAAGAAAGAAUGAAAGAAAACCUCGACAUAUUUGAUUGGGAAUUAAGUGCCGAGGAGCUGCAAAAGAUCGAACAAAUUCCACAGUAUAGAGGAAAUCGCACUGAGGUGCACGUGUCAGAGGAUGGUCCUUAUAAAUCCUUGGAGGAUCUAUGGGAUGGAGAAAUUUAAUUAAUUUAACAAUAAAGACGCAAUUAAAUCAUUAAAUAACUUAAUUUAACGCAUAGUUUGUUCCGAGUGACACUAGUUCAUACUAUGUCUAAAUACCUGCGAAGACAAUCGUGUUGCAGUUUUUUUUUUCUUUUUUCUUUUUUUUUCCUUUCUUUCCAGGCUCUAUGUGUUAAUACCCCAUACUUGUCCUAAUCUUUUCGUUUUUAGACUUUUCACAUGAAUACGUAUUGCAUGUUUAUCAAUAUUACAUUAUAACAAAUAUUAUUUUUUAACUCUACUAUUACGCUUCCAUGGCAUAAUAAUUUAAGUAGUUUUAUUGCCACCGUUUCAACAUGCGCCGCCACUGCAGAAAACCGUUUGUGGCAAGGUGAGAAAGUUCUCAUUUAGUCAAAUUAUUUAGACCUGUUAAGUAUGAAGAUUGGGUAAUUAUAACUUAAAAAAGUUGCGAUAUUAUAGUGUUUGGUAAAAAUUAACUAUUUUAAUUUAAAAAUUAAAUAAUUUUAUCCACCACUUAUAUGAUAAAAAACUUAUAAUAUUUUUAUUACUUUUGUUAAAAUAACAUUCAAAAUUAUAAUAUUUUUUUUCCUACAAUAGCUGUAACUUAAAAGUUAUAACAUCUCAAUAUAAAAUAUGACUUUAAUUUUACCUUCUGAUAUUCUGAUUGAAGUUCUCAAUUUAUGUUGUGGUUGAAAAAAUUAUGUGCGCUGAUCUGAAUCUCAUAAUGUAAAUUUGCUAACGCAAGAUUUGUUCUCUGUUAGGCAAAACAUUCUUAGGCAGUUUUGACAUUCUAAAUCUCGCAUUUUGAGCAUGAAAAUAAAUUAUCUGAGCAUACGUAAAUAAGACAAAUAAAAAUUAUAAUUGUCUCCUAAUUUUUUUAGCUUCCUAACCUUAAAAGACUAGUCACUUUGGUCAAUAACACAUAUACAAUAUAUUGUUAAAGUAAGAGUAAUUCUUUUUACAUCUGUUUAAAAUCCUUAUAUAAUUCCGUUUUUAGUUCUAUUACUAUUAGAAGUUACAUUAACGGACAAUAUGAAUUUAAAAAAAAAUAAAAUCUUUACCCCUACAGAUUAUGAAUCCUCCCAUCUUCAAAUCCCAAUUUAUGAUAUAAUUAUUUUUGUUUACAAAUUCAAAAUAGAUUUGAGAUAAUGAAGAAAUAAAAUUACCUAGUGAUAAGAUUUUUAUUUUAAAAAAUUAUAUUUAAAAUUUGAUUUACUCCAUUAUAAUGUUUAAUCGUUUUUCUAAAUUUUUUUACAAUAGUAGGUGCAAAUAAAUGGUUUCGCAACAGUAUAAAAGGGUUUUGAUUGCAAUUAAGAUCCGAAGCCGAAAAAGGCCCAAAAUGCAAGCCCAUUAUCAUCAGGAGCUCUCGAUAAAUGAAGUUCUCAAAGGUUUCCAAAAGCCCAAUGGCAAGGUCAUGUGCAAAAGGCUCCCAUUUAAGUCCCUUGCCCGAAGAGAAACACUCGACGGUUCUCAAAAUGGAAGGCUGGUUUGUGGCAUCUGUUUAAGCUGUCUCACAGCAGGAACCGUGAAGCCAAUUUGCAGACGUCAAAAGGGGGGUUUAUCAUUAAAAUUAUAGUAUGUCAACUCGGAAGUGAUGCUGAAUUUAGAAGUAUUUCAUAAAUUUUGAGUCUCAUAUGCAAUCCGACACAAAUUAAAUCACUUUAAACCUAAAGAAGAGAGUAAAUAAUUAAAGUAUUGUAAAGGGUAAGCGAAAAUAAAUAUCUUACGUGGUUAGAUAAUAUUGAUAUAUAUUCACAACUCUGAAAGGUAAAAAAAAUUGUGUAGCUGAGAUGGUGUUCCCCACACUCUAUAGAUAGGAUGCACAAAAUCUUUUAUGUUAAAUAAUAUAAUUUCAUUUAAUUAAUUUGCGGGUUUCAAUACUGAGGUGGUGUAUUCAUCUCAUAUAAGUUUUCUCUCCUUUGAAAGAAAACAAAUUAUAAACUUAAUUUUUUUUCAUUAACAAAAACCAAGAAUUAAAACUUACCUCCAAAUUUUCUCUCAACAAUAUCCAAUUCAAACGAUACAAUUUGAUCUCAUGUGUUGCUCAUGGCAGAACCAAGAAGAAGAUUUUCUUUUUCUUUUCUUUUCUCUCCAUCUCUCUCUCUCUCUCUCUCUCUCUCUCUCUCUCUCUCUCUCUCUCUCUCUCUCUCUCUCUCUCUCUCUCUCUUCCUUUAUGUUGUUUUUUUUUCCUCAGCCAAUCUCUCUCUCCCUCUCUUUCUUAUAAUGGAAAAGACCACAAACUCUUGUACAAACUUAUUUUGUACAAACUGACAUUGUAUUAAUUCAUUGGUUGAAUAAAAAUAUAAAAUAAUAAAAACAAAUCAUGUGGGACAUGUGAUAUUUAAUUCAAUCAAUCUUAUCAUGCCACAUCAGUUUGUACAAAAUAAGUUUAUAUAAGAGUUUGUAGCUAUAUCAUUGCUCUUAUUCUUUUUAUACUGGAGAAAAAAAUCACUAAAAAAACUUAAACACUCUUAGGAGAAUUAGAAUAUUACAUUAUGCACUUAAUUAGUCAUUAUUGAUUGGCUCCUUUUGAUUUCCUUAACUAUAUUACUCCCCAUUAAAACUAUGUUUUGGCAAAAGAAGCAGAGCAUCUAUAUACAUGAACGCUAACAAAUUUGAGAGAUAAAUCUCCAUAUUAAAUCACAAAUUAAAAUUAGGUUCAUGUUUGACAUAAAAUAGAAAAAUAGUUGAGAACUUCUAUUUCUAGUAAAAGGAGGGAGCAAAAAGAAAGAAAUUUUGGGAACAUUACUUAUAAUGCCUGUGGGUCUAUAGCGCCUCCUUCAACAAAUUUUGUGAACAUAAGAUAAGAGCACAAAUAAUGGCAUUGAUCUAUUGGGUGCUACCUCUUGGGUUGAAACAAAAGAUUUGGAAUUGGAAUCUUGCUCCCAUCCAUGAUGAGAAAUUGAGUUAUCAUAAUGUAAAUUUGUUUUUUUAAAAAAAGACAGUAAUUAUGGAGAUUUUAGUCUCUUCAUUUUACAAGAAACACAAGUAAUGAUAAUUAAGGUAAACCCUUUAAUUUAAGAUCUCAACCUAUUAAUAAAUCCAACCUCAAAUCUAGGAAGAGAAAAAUGAAGUUGAAAUCUUUUAAUGAUUGCUCUAAAGUUUGAAUUAGUAUCAACAUCACUCCUAAGAUUUUGCAUAAGUAGAGUUCAGGUGACAUUCAUUGGUAGGAAGUAUCAUUUUAAAAAAAAAAUUAUGUUGAAUAAAAUCAACUUUAAAAAUUCACAGUUGCUGUAAAUAUAGAUAGAUGAUACAGGAAGUAUAAAGAGGACAAUGCAGAAGAAGCAUUGUGUUAAUGUAUGAGAGAAUUAUUCCAUUCAAACUUUUGGUACAAACAUUACCAAGUUUAGCCCUCGUACUUAUAGUGCUAUUUGUCCAACCAUAAAUGGUAAAAGUUUCAGAACACAUGGCAUAAUUACAAAACUCACAUUAUCUCCACGUGUGGGCAUUCUUUACCACAAAAAUUUUCAUACAUAAAGGGCAUGUUUGGUUAUAAUAUUAAGGGGUAUUAAAAUACUAUUUACAUUAGCUUAAUACUAAUAUCAUGAUUGAUAAAAUUUUAUAAUGGAUUAAGAGGUAUGCUAGUGGGGCAAACUGCCGCAUUAGCUUUUGUGCUUUUGCAUUUGCUGCUUCUUCUUUUUUUUUUUUUUUACUUUUGCUUUUGCUUUUUUUAAUAAUAAUAAAAAAUAAUAUAACUUUUUAAUAUAAUAUAAAUUUUUAUUUUCUUUUAUUUUUAUAUCAUAAUUAUUAAUAUAAAUUUUUUUUUUAUUAUUCAUAUUUUAUUUUUAUUAUAUUAAAAAUAUUACUAAAUAAUGUAUUAUUUAAUUAUAUAAUAAUUAAUAUAUGAAAUUAAUUAAUAAGUACUUAAAUAAUAUAUAUAAAUAAGAAUAUAACUUGAUAUUACAUUAUUUAAUUAUAUUAUAGUAAUUAAUAUAUAAAAAUUUAAUAUAACUAAUCAAAAUAUUUAUAUAUGAAUAAAUUUAAAUAAUAUUAAUUUAAAAUAAAUGUUAUGUUGUCGAUUAUAAGGCUAUAAGCUUCAAUUUUUAUGGAAAAAUUAUUUUUUUAAUAUUUAUACUAAAAAAUAAUGUUAAAUUUCUAAAAUUUAAGACUUUUAUAUUUUAUAUUUUUCUAGGUACUAAUAAAUAUUAUUUUCUAAAUAUAUAAUUUAAGUUAAUCAAAAAAUAAUAAUACAAUACAGUGUAGCACCAAAUAUUAUACAACAUUAUUAUAAUACAGUGUUAAUGCAAUAUAACAUAAUAUAAUACACUAACAUUAAAAUAAUAUAAUACAAUAUAAUAUAAUAUAAUGUGUCAAACACAUCCAAAAAACUUAGUGUCGCGGACGGAAAGCUAACGAUCCCUUGCGGUACUCCCGCAUCCCGAGAGUAAGCCUAAAAUAAUUGAGCAUCACGAUUGCGAUCCGUGAUAUUAGUCUUCCAACAAAUAGCAGUAAUGCAGUAUGCGUAGCUUAUUUGCUAAGGUAAUAAGGUAUCUAUCAGACCUAUUUGCAUCAGAAUAGACUUACACUAGCUGGAAAUAUCAAACACUUGUUCAAUGCAAAUCUUACUUAACUAACCAAAUCGGCCAAUCACAAUGGUGGAUAGCCACUAAUAUCACAACAAUAACGAGUCCCAUAAAUUUUUACUAGAUAAUGAAAUAAAUAAUAAAAAAAAAAGUUAUGACCUCACAGAUUACGAGAUAACCAGUGAAAUUUUUUUAAAAAAAUACAAUAAAGACGAGCUCCAAGAUCGGACAAAAAAAAAAAAAAAGAGUAGCUGUUGCCGAUUUCGGUCAAUAAUAUUGGAGAAGAUUUCCCUUCAUCAUUUGUUUUAUCUUAUUUUCCUACCUACUACGUUGUCAGUAAAUAUACAAAAAUAACAGCCGCGUCAUGUGAUUUAUUUAUUUAUUUUUAAAAAUUUUGUGUCAUGUAUUUUUUAAUAUUUAAUAUAUAAUUAAUAUUUUUAUUAUUUUUAUUUUUUAACUUAUUAAUGACGAAUAACUUUUACUCAAAAUUAAUUUAAUUUGACCAUGACUCAGCCUCGUAAUCUUCUUUUUUUAUUGUGAGAAGCUCAUGAACAGUAAUGUGGCAAAGUGGCGGAAGUGUAGAGCUUGUUUUCUAAUUUAUACAGAGCCCUUUUUUUUUUGUGGGGGUAACACAUAGAUAUAUAUCAAACAAGGCCUGUGAGCAGUGAAUUUUACAAUAGACUCACUAUCAAUAUUAUUAAAUUUAUUGUUUCCUAUAUUAACAAUCAAACUAUCAUUUAUCCCAUUCGAUUCCAAAGAUGAUUAUUUAUGAGUUUCAUUAAUGAAAACGUUCGUUCUAGUAUUAUUAUAGAGAUUGGAAGAAUUAAUCAUAUUUUUGAGAAUAGAAAAUAUUUUAAGUGUUGGACUAUUAUUAUUUUUAAUUAAAAUAUAAGUUUUUAUAAUUCUUAAAAGUUAAAUUUCAAAUUUUAUAGGGGCUUAUAAUUUAUAGUGAUUAUUUUAAUAAAUUUUUUAUGGGGACUAAUUAGAAAAUUAAAAUAUUUUUCUUUUUUAAUUUAAAAUUUUUUUUGGCCAGUGGGGAGCUCAAGCCCCCACUGGUCGCAUGCUACAUCCGCCCAUGCUUGUGAGGUUGAUCCAUUUGAGAGAGAGAACAUGCAGAAAAGAGUAAAAGGAGAAAAAGAAAAACUAAUUUUUUAAUUAAUGAGUAUUUUGAAAGUUUCAACCCAUUUUUUCUUUAAUUAAAAAUUAAUUGUUGAAAAUAAAAAAAUAAAAUUUUUAUUGCCCACCGCCUCUUAGGGAUAGCAAAAUCCUCCACGGGUUUGGGGCCCCAUGGAGCCCCACCCCAAAUGGAAAAAAUUUUGAAUAAUUUUUGGGGAAUGGGGUGGGGAGUGGGGGAAAAAUAAUCCUCAAAUUCUUAAUGGGGUAGGGUUUGGUUUUGUACUCCCCACCCCAACCCCACCCCAAUCCUCAUUAUAUAUAAAUAUGUUUUUAAUUCUUGUUUAAUAAUUUUUAUUUUAUCAAUUAUAAUGUCAAUUAAUUUUUUUUAAAUUUUUAUGCAAUAUAAACAAGAUACGAAUGAAAGAAAAUCUUAUAAUAUUUUUCAACUCUGAAACAUUGUUAUAUUUUCUUUUCUCUUUUAAGGUGAUACGCUCUUUAAAUAUUUUUCACUUUUAAUAUCAUUUUAAGAUAUUGCUUCAAACUUUUAGAUUUUUUUAAAAGAAUUUAAAUACUUUAUAAUAUGAUGAUGAUUUUAUUUUAAGUCUCUAAUUUUUAACUUACUAAAAUAAUAUAUUUAUACAUAUUAUAAAAUAGAUAAAUGAGGAAUGGGGUGGGGAUGGGGAAAUCAUUCCCCACAUGGGGAUUCUCCAUCCCCACCCCACUAAAUUUACUGGGGAAUGGGGUGGGGAAUAGAUGCAAAAAUUUCUAACGGGGUGGGAAAUGGGGUAGGCCUCCCCACCCCCACCCCACCCCAUUGUCACCCCUCUGAAGACGAGUUGAAAAUAACAGUUUUACUGCAUUUUUAUAAAUAAUACAUUUUAAAAUGCCAAACACACUGCUCAUUUAUUUGAAUGUCAAAAAAGGGGAUCAUUAUUCACCCAAAAAAAAAAACACUACACCAACUAUGUAUAAUAUUUCAAAUUCGAAACAAAAGUUUUUUCAGUAUUCAUGAAAAUAAUUUCAAAAGAAGUGAAAUUAUCAUUGCACCAUUUUUUUUAUCUUAUGUUCAUCCAAUUACUACAAAAUUCUAAAAAAAUUUCUGCACCAAUUUUUUUUUUAAAAUAUAUAUCAAUUAGUCACUUUUGCACUAACACAGUUAAAUAAUUUAAAUGAAAUAAUAAUUUUACCCCUAAAUAAAUUAAAAGACUAUUUUAUCUUAUACAAACUUUGAAAAAUAAAAAAAUUAUAAUUAAAAAAAUACCCCUAAAUUUAAAAAAAUAAAUCCAAAAUAGAGGUGCUCAGUUGAUUUUUAUUAAAUUUAGAUUUUGUAAAAUUUUAAUAAUUAUUUUUAUUAAAAAUUAUAAUUUUUCAAAAUUUUAAUAAAAAUAACUGAAUUUAUUUAUUAAAAAAUUAUAAUUUUGUAAAAUUUUAUUAAAAUAACUGAAGUUAUUUCUUAAAAGAAUAAAUCCUAAAAUUUUAAUAAUUUAGGGGAUUUUUAGUAAAUCCCAAAAUUUUACAAUUAUUUUUAUAAUUAUAAUUUUAUCUGCUGUACCGUACAUCCGCCUUGGCCGUACUACUUUAUAAUAUGAUGAUGAUUUUAUUUUAAGUCUCUAAUUUUUAACUUACUAAAAUAAUAUAUUUAUACAUAUUAUAAAAUAGAUAAAUGAGGAAUGGGGUGGGGAUGGGGAAAUCAUUCCCCACAUGGGGAUUCUCCAUCCCCACCCCACUAAAUUUACUGGGGAAUGGGGUGGGGAAUAGAUGCAAAAAUUUCUAACGGGGUGGGAAAUGGGGUAGGCCUCCCCACCCCCACCCCACCCCAUUGUCACCCCUCUGAAGACGAGUUGAAAAUAACAGUUUUACUGCAUUUUUAUAAAUAAUACAUUUUAAAAUGCCAAACACACUGCUCAUUUAUUUGAAUGUCAAAAAAGGGGAUCAUUAUUCACCCAAAAAAAAAAACACUACACCAACUAUGUAUAAUAUUUCAAAUUCGAAACAAAAGUUUUUUCAGUAUUCAUGAAAAUAAUUUCAAAAGAAGUGAAAUUAUCAUUGCACCAUUUUUUUUAUCUUAUGUUCAUCCAAUUACUACAAAAUUCUAAAAAAAUUUCUGCACCAAUUUUUUUUUUAAAAUAUAUAUCAAUUAGUCACUUUUGCACUAACACAGUUAAAUAAUUUAAAUGAAAUAAUAAUUUUACCCCUAAAUAAAUUAAAAGACUAUUUUAUCUUAUACAAACUUUGAAAAAUAAAAAAAUUAUAAUUAAAAAAAUACCCCUAAAUUUAAAAAAAUAAAUCCAAAAUAGAGGCUGUACGGCCAAGGCGGAUGUACGGUACAGCAGUUUUUAAANNNNNNNNNNNNNNNNNNNNNNNNNNNNNNNNNNNNNNNNNNNNNNNNNNNNNNNNNNNNNNNNNNNNNNNNNNNNNNNNNNNNNNNNNNNNNNNNNNNNNNNNNNNNNNNNNNNNNNNNNNNNNNNNNNNNNNNNNNNNNNNNNNNNNNNNNNNNNCCGUACAGCAGCAAAAUUUUAUUUAUUUAGGAGAUUUUUAUUAAAUCUCAAAAUUUAGUAAUUAUUUUCAUAAUUAUAAUUUUUUAUUAAAAUAAGUUUUAUUAAGAGUAAAAAAUCUAAUUUUUGGAUUUAUUUCUUUAUUAAAUGUAGGGGUAUUUUUAGAAUUAUAAUUUUUUUAUUUUCAAAGCUUUUACAAGAUAAAGUAAUCUUUUAAUUUAUUUAGGGAUAAAAUUAUUAUUUUGUUUAAAUGUUGUGUUGAGAACAUGUUAGAAUUUUAUGAUAGUUGGAUGAACAUAAGGUAGAAGAAAGGUGGUGCAAUGAUAAUUUUUCAAAAAUAAAAUGCAAACAAUGCCGGACGAAACCUUAUUGCCUCGAAGACAAGGUCUUUAUUAUAGUAUAUUUUAAUGAAUCAAACUACCAAGUUUCAUGUGCCAAAGAUUUACUGUGAUAUUCUUAUUAAAGAUUCUUUUCUAAGUUCUAAUAUCAAACCUUGUAUCUGCGUUGCACACAAGUUUCUGUAUUCAAUCGGAUAGGAAUCUCUGCACACGGAGUAUUUUUCAUUUUUCGUACUCGUGAUAUUUGUUAAUCCAGACAUAUUUUCUUGGUUUUCAUUUUCUUGAUCAAUUAUAAGAUUUUGUUUAGGAUCCGACUAUAAUGGAGAUGCUCCACCAUAUAAUACGAGCAAAAUUAUAAUAUAUAUUUUAUUAUUUAUCAAUUUAAUCAUAUAGUUAUGUAGGAGUGUUCAACAGCAUAGCAUCUCCAACAUAAUUAUUACCUUUUGUUUAAUAUGCAUUGAUUUGAACAAGUUUUCUAGGGAUGGCAAUGGGGGCAGAUAUAGGUUGGAUCUACUCUGCUUCAGAUCUAAAUCCAUAAAAAAAUUAAGAUCCGUAUCUACUACAAAUCUGUCAUGAAUCCAUAUUUUUUGCUCUAUAUCCGGAUUCAAAAAGAAAUAAAUAUCUAUAUCUGCUCCAAAUAAAAAAAAAAAUCCAAAUCUGCUCUAGAUCCGUCAUGAAUUCUAAAACUCAGCAAUAAAAAAGUAAUAAUUUUUUAGAAUGAAAAUUGAAGGCCAAAAUGUAUUGAUAACAAAUAAGUUAUAUAAUUUUUCUAAAAAAUAUAAUAAAUAUUGUAGCUUAUACUUUUACACCAUAACAACAAAUAAGAAAGAUAAUAAAAUAUCCUUCAAAAGUAAUUGUAGGAGUAAGAUCAAUAUAAUAUUUUAUUAUCUCCUUCAUUAUUCUAAUAUCCAUGACACACCCACCCUUAUUCCUACAACAUUAGAUAAUGACAUAUAAAUUAAAUAUGAUUUAUAUUCAAUACUUUAUUAUUUUUAUUAUGGCCAUAUUUGACUAAAUAUAUGAAUAACUAUAUUCCUUAAAAAUUAUUUGGCUAAUAAAGUAAAAUAAAUUGACAGGUUAUAUGCCAUAUUUGACUAAAUAUAUGCGUUUUAAGAGUUUAAAUGCGUGAUAAAUACCACUAAUAUGUUAUGAAUAAAAUUUAUUAUAUUAUAAUUCCACAAUUGUUAAGAAACUUUUAAAAUAAAAUAAAAUUAAAAGAUGGGCGGAUAUGGAUAUGAAUUUGGAUAUUAAAAUAGAUCUAGACUUGCUUCAGAUCCGUCUUAAAUCCAAAUAUCGAUAUCUAAAUCCGAUUCAAAUUCAUUUUAAACCGACGCAAAUAUGAUCCGAUUGAAUUUAAAUCAUGUGAAUGUUAGAUCAGAUCCAAUCUAUUGUCAUCCCUAAGGUUUUUUAACUUUUCCAGGGAUUUCAAUAAGAGUAGUUAGUGAUUUCCUCUUUUUCUAGUAAUUAAUUUGGCGUUAUUUCAUGCGGCUUUGAUUUGAAUUUAGUUGUGACUUGUGAAGUACCAAUUUCGAUUCAUUUUUUGUUGCUUUCCUUGUGUAAAUCCAAGUCAAUACGCGGUUGCAAUUUUGUCUUUUGCAUUCAAUUUGGCCUAUUAACAAUGCCUUAGAUUUGACCUAGAUUUGAUCCUUUUCGUCUCAAACGAAUUAUUUAUUAUUUUUUGUCUAUUAAAAGAUGUGUUCAAAAUUGAUUUUUACAUUUUAAUAUUUUAACAUAACAACUGCAAAAAGAAAAAACGACAAAUAGAAGAAGAUGAAGUAGACGAAGACAAAGAAGAAGAUUAAAGGACAGAAGAAGAAGGAGAAGACUACAAAAAAUACUUUCUAUUUUAAAUAAAAAGUAAUACAAUAUACUAAAAGUAUUGAUUUCCUGGAUUUGCUAACUCACAUCUCAUGUAACUAAGAAUGCCUCUAAAACAUGCAAAAAGUCAUAACAUUCAAGGGGGAUCCACUUGAACUUUGCAAGAGCUGUAAGUUACAUGAAGGACUCAUUGUUUAAUUAGCUAUUGUUUAAGAGAUUAGAAAUAAAUUUUUUAGGGUUUAUGGAAAGAGAAUUAUAUAUUAAAUAACAAGUGUGUUAUAUGAAUGUUCAGAAUCUUUAUAUGUUAGUUUAUAAGAGAGAGUACAUAUUAAUAAUUCAUAUGAUGAGCAUUUUUGUAAUAAAAUAAUUUAUUAAAAUAAGAGGUACUCAGAAUAUUUUUAAAGUACAAAUAAAUUCACUCAAACAUAAUUUAGUUUUUUUUUUCCUUCUGAAACUCACUCUUCAGUUUUUAUCACUGCCAUAACUAAAUGCAAUUUCAAGAACCUAAAGAAUAUAGUCCUAAUGAUACAAAUGAAAUUUCAAAUAAUAUCAUAAUCAUUUCUUAAUCUGAGCUAUUAUGAACUUGUAAAAAUCAUGAGCCAUCUAUCUUUUAGCGUUAAUGUAUAAUUAAGAUUUAGGCCCAAUUUGAUAAUUUUGUAAUUUUUUUAAAUAAUUGUUAUUAAUUAUGUUAUAGAAAUAAUCAACUAUAGAAAGAAUCAGUUAAACAUUUAGUAAAAUUUACUUUUAAAAAUGUUGUGAGUUUUAAAAGCAGUCAUAUGUUUUUGUAAAUUUUACUAUUAAAUUAUUAUAAGAAUGUAAAUGACUAAAUUAAAUAUAAUAUUGAAUAAAUUUUAUUUAUGCAUUUAUAAAUAUGUUUAUAAAUUAUUUUAUUAUUGUGUAUAUAUUAUAAUUAAUAACCAAAAUAAAUAGUUUAUGUUAUUAGUUUUAUUUAUUAUUUUGUUAUCUCAAUAUAAUUGAUGAUGAUGAUAAUAAUAAUCUCAUUAAAGUUAGUGAUUUUAUUUCUAAACCAAUAAGAAUAAUUUUGAAUUUUUAUGAUACAUAUGACAAUAUAUAUACAAUUGUUUUAAGUAUAAAACUGAUUUUUAGAAUCAAUAUUAAAAGCUACGACUUCCCGAUUAUUCAAAAUUUGUUUUAGGAUGAGGUGAUCUUGGUAAAAGUGAUUUUUAAAAUUUUUAUCAGAUACUAAAAUUAAUUUUUAUUUAUUAAAAAUUACUUAUGAGCUUUCCUAAAAUAAUUCUAAAAAAACCCUUAAUCACUUUUAUUUUUUAAUUUAUUAACUACUCGUCAUAAAAAUAAAUUUACUCAAACACACACACACACACACACAUAUAUAGCUACAAACUCUUUUAUAAUUUUUUUUUACAAACUUACAUGACAUGUUUUAAUUAUUUAGAUUAAAUAUCUCUUGAUUCGUAUGAUUUAUUUAUUAUUUUAUAUUUUUAUUCAAUUAAUGAAUUAAUAUCAAAUUAAUUUGUACAAAAUAAAUUUAUUUAAGAGUUUGUAGUUAUAAGAUCGGUCAAUGUGUUUAUAUAUAAGUGGGCACUGCAGCCUCGUAUGCCAUGUGCACUUUGAUUCCUCUUCUUUGAAAAAUGAAAAUGAAAAAAGAGGUAAGCAUCCCAGAGGCUCCUUUGGGCUCCACCGGCAAAACCAUACCUCUUGUUGGUUUCGGCACGGCCCAAUUUCCUUUCGGAGCAGCCACUGAAGUAGUAAAAGAAUCUGUUGUGCAUGCAAUAGAAGUCGGCUACAGACACUUCGACACCGCCGCAAUAUACCAGUCCGAGCAGCCUCUUGGGGAAGCAAUAGCCGAAGCGUUGCGUCUUGGGCUCAUCAAAUCACGCAAUGAGCUCUUUAUCACUUCAAAGCUUUGGCUCGGCCACGCACACCGUCAACUUGUCCUCCCUGCGCUACAAACUUCUCUCAAGUAACUAAAUUAAAUUAAUUACAAGCUAGCU